ensembl:lncRNA
UGACAACUAGUGGGAGACACAGUGGAGCUGCAGACAGAGAUCGUGGCAUUGGGGUGGAGGGUGACUCCUGGUUACAGGCCACACAGGGUUCAUCAGGGGGCCAGGCGUCCUCCUUCAAGAAGUAUUUAUGGGGCACCUCACCUACUGUGUGCUGGGCCCUAUUCCAGGUGCCAGGGACGCAGGACAGAACAGGACAGGCUCAGUCUCCGGCCUCCGGAAGCAUCUCUCCUAAAGGGGGGAAGAGAACACACAUGAGUACUGCAGAUAAACUGAGGCGUCGUAAGGAAAAGGGCGUGAUGCUGGGGCAGGCAGGUGGGUUUUAGAGAGGGUGAUCAGGGAAGGCCUUGCUGCGGGCGAGGUGACGUUUGUGUGCUUGUCAGGGGGAACAGCAAGUACAAAAGUCCUGAAGCAGGGCCAUGGCUGUCAUGUUGAGGACGCAGCGGGCAGAGGAGAAGGUGAUGAGAUCAGAGAGUUUCCUGCAGCGCCUUCCCAGGCUCAUUGCAGAUGGGUAACAGUCUGUGGAUUGGCCGUGGUCUGAGGACACCUCUUUGAUAGCAUCGAUUCAGGCUGUUGAGAGGUGGACGCUGGCGUUGCAGAACCUCUCAGAUUGCCAGAAGGAACAAGGCUCCUGCAUCCCUGUUCCCCUAAGCAGGUACUUCUGGACACCAAGUCAAUUAACCUCAAGAUGUCCCAGGCCAGGCGCGCUGCGCUGACUUACGGCUGGAUCCCUCCUUCCAUCCCAGUCUGUCUCCCAGGACCUUCAGGAUGUACAUUGUUAUUAAAGUGUCCCCGCCAGUGGCCCCUGAUAAGCAUACAGAGCUGUGGGGUCGGGGUUGGAGUGGGGCGACCUGGGAGAGAGAAGUACGUACAGGUAGAGGCCCGCCUUCUUUGAUUCCAACGCUAUACAAAACUUGGCCCAAGCAUCACCUCCUGCAGAAAGUCAUCCCGGGCCUGCAGCCAGACUGAGGGCCCCCGCCUGCGCUGCUGCAUCACAGAACAGGUCUCCCUGCAUUCACAUGGAACAGUUGACAUAGUAAAUUCGAAGGUGGUGCCAGCGCCUCUGGGGGUUGGAGGUGGUGUCACCUGCCUUGGUUCGAGGGUCUGACCAGAUUUCAGGGCUUGUCUGGGUGCCCCUGCGCAGGGUACAGUCUGUACAACUCUAAGCAGUGGCCCAGGUAGUUGGAGCUCCAGGCCCAUCUCUGGCAGACUUCAGGGGACUGGGGAGCGGGAAUUGUGUCUGGGACGUUGCAUCUUGAGUACAGAGGUCUCCGCCUGGUUGAGCAACAGAAAACACUGGCUUAAAAAAAUGUAGACACUCUGGCUCCAAUUUUAGGAAUUCUACCUCCAGAGGUCUGACAAGGGUCCUGAGUCUCGAAAACUUUUUUUUUUUUUUGAAGAUGAUUAGCCCUGAGCUAACUGCUGCCAAUCCUCCUAUUUUUUGCUGAAGAAGACUGACCCUGCCUGAGCUAACAUCUGUGCCCAUCUUCCUCUACUUUCUAUGUGGGACGCCUGCCCAGCAUGGCUUGCCAAGCGGUGCCAUGUCCACAUCCGGGAUCUGGGCUGGCGAACCCCGGACACCAGGAAGUAGAAUGUGCACACUUAACUGCUGCGCCACCGGGCUGGCCCCUUGACAUUUUGAAAAAGUGCCAUGUGACUCUGAUGCCCAGCUGCUGUCUGACCCAUAAGAGGUGUCUGGUGACUGUGCUCAUAGAAGUGCAGCACGUCUGUGAAGGGACACACAGGGAUCUGUGGCCUGCGGGGAGGGGAGCUGGGGGACAUCAGAGGAAGAUGAGUCACUUUUUGUUAUACAUCUUUUUGUACUGAUUGGACUUUUAACCUAAAAAAAAUGUUUGACCAACUGAUGUUGUUGCUGUCAUCUACGUGAGGGACCACCAACUCUAG